UGGGGAAUAUUGCACAAUGGGCGCAAGCCUGAUGCAGCCAUGCCGCGUGUAUGAAGAAGGCCUUCGGGUUGUAAAGUACUUUCAGUUGGGAGGAAGGUGGUAAGGUUAAUAACCUUAUCAAUUGACGUUACCGACAGAAGAAGCACCGGCUAACUCCGUGCCAGCAGCCGCGGUAAUACGGAGGGUGCAAGCGUUAAUCGGAAUUACUGGGCGUAAAGCGCACGCAGGCGGUUGAUUGAGUCAGAUGUGAAAUCCCCGGGCUUAACCCGGGAAUUGCAUCUGAUACUGGUCAGCUAGAGUCUUGUAGAGGGGGGUAGAAUUCCAUGUGUAGCGGUGAAAUGCGUAGAGAUGUGGAGGAAUACCGGUGGCGAAGGCGGCCCCCUGGACAAAGACUGACGCUCAGGUGCGAAAGCGUGGGGAGCAAACAGG
rnacentral:rRNA from 1 species